rnacentral:rRNA from 2 species
CCCGGUGACCAUAGGCUCCUGGCCAUACCCGUUCCCAUCCCGAACACGGUCGUCAAGCAGGAGCUGCCGAUGAUAUUGCGAAAGCGAGAAAGUAGGUAUCGCCGGGG